rnacentral:rRNA from 1 species
CAGCCGCCGCGGGAAUACGAAGGGGGCUAGCGUUGUUCGGAUUUACUGGGCGUAAAGCGCACGUAGGCGGAUCGAUCAGUCAGGGGUGAAAUCCCAGAGCUCAACUCUGGAACUGCCUUUGAUACUGUCGAUCUGGAGUAUGGAAGAGGUGAGUGGAGUUCCGAGUGUAGAGGUGAAAUUCGUAGAUAUUCGGAAGAACACCAGUGGCGAAGGCGGCUUACUGGCUCAUUCUAGACGCUGAGGUGCGAAAGCGUGGGGGGCAAACAGGAUUAGAUACCCGUGUAGUCCCUGUCUCUUAUAC